GGAAGCUGCAAUAGCACGCGAAAUGCACCCGUUCCCAAUUGAUCACUGAAGUUAAGCAACAGUGCGCGUGGUUAGUAUCCGGAUGAGUAACCAUCUGUGCUUCUGGCU
rnacentral:rRNA from 1 species